GACGAACGCUGGCGGCGUGCUUAACACAUGCAAGUCGAGCGAUGAAGCUCCUUCGGGAGUGGAUUAGCGGCGGACGGGUGAGUAACACGUGGGUAACCUGCCUCAUAGAGGGGAAUAGCCUUUCGAAAGGAAGAUUAAUACCGCAUAAGAUUGUAGUACCGCAUGGUACAGCAAUUAAAGGAGUAAUCCGCUAUGAGAUGGACCCGCGUCGCAUUAGCUAGUUGGUGAGGUAACGGCUCACCAAGGCGACGAUGCGUAGCCGACCUGAGAGGGUGAUCGGCCACAUUGGGACUGAGACACGGCCCAGACUCCUACGGGAGGCAGCAGUGGGGAAUAUUGCACAAUGGGGAAACCCUGAUGCAGCAACGCCGCGUGAGUGAUGACGGUCUUCGGAUUGUAAAGCUCUGUCUUUAGGGACGAUAAUGACGGUACCUAAGGAGGAAGCCACGGCUAACUACGUGCCAGCAGCCGCAGUAA
rnacentral:rRNA from 1 species